GAUGAACGCUGGCGGCGUGCCUAAUACAUGCAAGUCGAGCGAACAGACGAGGAGCUUGCUCCUCUGACGUUAGCGGCGGACGGGUGAGUAACACGUGGAUAACCUACCUAUAAGACUGGGAUAACUUCGGGAAACCGGAGCUAAUACCGGAUAAUAUAUUGAACCGCAUGGUUCAAUAGUGAAAGACGGUUUUGCUGUCACUUAUAGAUUGAUCCGCGCCGCAUUAGCUAGUUGGUAAGGUAACGGCUUACCAAGGCAACGAUGCGUAGCCGACCUGAGAGGGUGAUCGGCCACACUGGAACUGAGACACGGUCCAGACUCCUACGGGAGGCAGCAGUAGGGAAUCUUCCGCAAUGGACGAAAGCUUGACGGAGCAACGCCGCGUGAGUGAUGAAGGUCUUCGGAUAGUAAAACUCUGUUAUUAGGGAAGAACAAAUGUGUAAGUAACUAUGCACGUCUUGACGGUACCUAAUCAGAAAGCCACGGCUAACUACGUG
rnacentral:rRNA from 1 species